rnacentral:lncRNA from 1 species
AAAACUGUACACAUUUUUUUUUUUUUUUUUUUUUUUUUUUUUUUUUUUUUUUUUUUUUUUUUUUUUUUUUUUUUUUACUUCGAUAAAACAUGAGGGUCUAUGUGACGUAAGUAAAAUUUGGUGAAUGUGGAUUCCCUGCUCCAAUCAGAAGCUUCCAUGAUGUUCUUCAUUGAUGCACCUUUUUAAAGAGCCCAAGAAGGACCAAUAGCUCUUGUCGAAUGAGCUUUAACAGAUUUCUUUUUGUCGUUAUAUGCCAUCUGAAUGGUACUCACAAUCCAUGAUGAAAUUGUUUGACUUGAAAUUGGCUUAUGUGGAUUGCUAAUUGCUAAAAACAAUUUACUAUCUUGUCUGUUCUCACCACGAAAAUUGUCAGUGCUCUUUAGAUAGUAAGUUAAUGCCCUUUUAGGGUCAAGAAGCUUUUCUGCAUCAAAGGCAGGUACAAAAAUCUUAGCCCCAAAAUGUCCAGGACGGUCUUGUUUUGAC